UUCCUUUCCCUCAUAGAAGGAUUGCUUUGGACCUGCUUGUACAUAUGUUUGAAGGAUAAUUUGGCCUAAUUUGUUUACAGGAAUUACAAGAGUGACCUUUAUUCAGCUGUCUCCUUUUUGAUUCCCAUAACUUCUGGAUCUAUCAAGGUUCUGAAGAUAUAAAUAGAUGUCAAUCCUGUCCUCAGGAACUAACAAUCUGGUUGAUGAGAAGAGAGCAUAACAACUACGGUCUGGUGGAACAAGAGCUAUAAUACAGAUAUGUACAAUGUGCCGUGGUAAGCAGAGGAGGUUAAUUUCAUUAAUGGAGACAGAGUGGGCU
rnacentral:lncRNA from 1 species